UAGGUACUUUCUCAGUCCUAAAAUUAUUGUCUUAAGUUUGUCUAGAAUAAAUGAAUUUAAAUACUAAAACGUGACUAGAUACAUUCAUAUUUAGACAAAUCUAAAACAAGAAUUUUGAGACGGAGGGAGUAUAUA
rfam:Hordeum vulgare subsp. vulgare, WGS project CAJW01000000 data, contig: morex_contig_72290